CCCUUAGAUGUUCUGGGCCGCACGCGCGCUACACUGACAGAGCCAGCGAGUUUUUUUCCUUGGCCGGAAGGUCUGGGUAAUCUUGUGAAACUCUGUCGUGCUGGGGAUAGAGCAUUGCAAUUAUUGCUCUUCAACGAGGAAUUCCUAGUAAGCGUGAGUCAUCAGCUCGCGUUGAUUACGUCCCUGCCCUUUGUACACACCGCCCGUCGCUACUACCGAUUGAAUGGCUUAGUGAGGUCUUGGGAUUGGCUUCGGGGAGCCGGCAACGGCACCCUGUCGCUGAGAACUUGAUCAAACUUGGUCAUUUAGAGGAAGUAAAAGUCGUAACA
rnacentral:rRNA from 1 species